GGAAGAUUGGUGACUACAAAUUGACUACCAAGUUCUCUGGAAAAUCAGUUGGCAUUAUUGGUCUGGGAAGAAUUGGCUUGGCAAUAGCCAAGCGAGCUGAAGCAUUCAACUGUCCAAUUUCUUACUGCUCAAGAACAGAAAAGGAAGACUCCAAGUACAAAUACUAUUCAAACCUUCUCGAGCUGGCCUCAAAAUCUGAUAUUCUG
rnacentral:misc_RNA from 1 species